CCCUUAGAUGUUCUGGGCGGCCCGCGCACUACAUUGGCACUGGCAACAAGAUCCUAGAUCUGGUAUUUCGGGGUAUUCUACCAACUGGUGUCGUGACUGGGAUUAACCCCUGCAAUUGUUGGUUAUGAACGAGGAAUUCCUUGUAAUCACGGUUUAUCAACCCGUGUUGAAUGCGUCCCUGCCCUUUGUACACACCGCCCGUCGCUCCUACCGAUGAAUCGUCCGGUGAAGUUCAUGGAGUCGCGGCUGCUCCAGCUGUUUUCGAAGUGAAAUGGACCUCAUGAUUUAGAGGAAGGAGAANUCGUANCA
rnacentral:rRNA from 1 species